rnacentral:rRNA from 1 species
GACGAACCGUGCGAACGUUAUUCGGAAUCACUGGGCUUAAAGGGUGCGUAGGCGGGUUGCCAAGUCUGUGGUGAAAUCCUCCGGCUUAACCGGAGAACUGCCGUGGAUACUGGCGACCUCGAGGGGGGCAGGGGCUUGCGGAACUGUGCGUGGAGCGGUGAAAUGCGUUGAUAUGCACAGGAACUCCGGUGGCGAAAGCGGCGAGCUGGACCCUUACUGACGCUGAGGCACGAAAGCCAGGGGAGCGAACGGG